UACGUAGGGGCCUAGCGUUGCCCGGAUUUAUUGGGCGUAAAGAGCUCGUAGGCGGCUUGUCACGUCGGGUGUGAAAGCCCGGGGCUUAACCCCGGGUCUGCAUUCGAUACGGGCUAGCUAGAGUGUGGUAGGGGAGAUCGGAAUUCCUGGUGUAGCGGUGAAAUGCGCAGAUAUCAGGAGGAACACCGGUGGCGAAGGCGGAUCUCUGGGCCAUUACUGACGCUGAGGAGCGAAAGCGUGGGGAGCGAACAGG
rnacentral:rRNA from 1 species